rnacentral:rRNA from 1 species
UACAGAGGUCUCGAGCGUUAGGCGGAAUCACUGGGCUUAAAGCGUGUGUAGGCGGACUGGUAAGUACCUUGUGAAAUCCCACAGCUUAACUGUGGAACUGCUCGGUAUACUGCUGGUCUUGAGCCACUCAGGGGCUACCGGAACAAAUGGUGGAGCGGUGAAAUGCGUAGAUAUCAUUUGGAACGCCAAUGGUGAAAACAGGUAGCUGGGGGUGUGCUGACGCUGAGACACGAAAGCCAGGGGAGCAAACGGG